rnacentral:tRNA from 1 species
GCGUUGUUAGGCUAGCGGUAAACUGGGCCCUUGCCAUUAGGAUAAAUGGGCUCGUCAGGGGUUCGACUCCCCUACAACGCA